rnacentral:rRNA from 1 species
UAAGACGAACCGUGCGAACGUUGUUCGGAAUCACUGGGCUUAAAGGGCGCGUAGGCGGGCUGCCAAGUCUGGGGUGAAAUCCUCCGGCUCAACCGGAGAACGGCCUCGGAUACUGGCGGUCUCGAGGGAGGUAGGGGCGUGCGGAACUAAGGGUGGAGCGGUGAAAUGCGUUGAUAUCCUUAGGAACUCCGGUGGCGAAGGCGGCACGCUGGACCUCUUCUGACGCUGAGGCGCGAAAGCCAGGGGAGCAAACGGGAUUAGAUACCCCGGUAGUCCUGGCCCUAAACGUUGAGAACUAGGUAGUAGGCUUGACAUGGGCUUACUGCCGAAGCAAAAGUGCUAAGUUCUCCGCCUGGGGAGUAUGGUCGCAAGGCUG